rnacentral:rRNA from 1 species
UCCAUUGGACAGCCCCUCACCGACUCCGAUUUCAACUCGUUUAUUGUCAAUGGUCUUGAUGAGGAGUAUGAUGCCUUAGUCGAGAUCAUCAACGAGCGGGGCAACUCGACACCCAUGCUGGCACACGAGGUUUUCUCUCGGCUCCUUCUCACUGAGCAACGGGUCGAGACACGCCGCUCCAGGGGCACUGGCUUCCUCUCGGCCAACGCCGCCCCCAAGGGUGGCCGCUCUUCUUCAUCACCCCGGUCUCCCUUGGGGCUGCCACCGUCGCCCGCCUCGGCCCCCCCACCUACUGCGACCUUACCGGGGGCUGGCGGUCCACGUGUGUGCCAACUUUGUGGCCGUGAUGGGCACUGGGCCUCCAAGUGUCAUAAGCGCUUCCAGCGAAGCUUCCUUGGUCUU